rnacentral:rRNA from 1 species
AACAAACGCUGGCGGCGUGCCUAACACAUGCAAGUCGUACGAGAAAGGGUCCUUCGGGGCCUGAGUAAAGUGGCGCACGGGUGAGUAACGCGUGGAUAAUCUGCCCUUCAGUUGGGAAUAACUCAUCGAAAGGUGGGCUAAUACCGAAUAAUGCUGUGAGACCUCGGUUGGUCAGCCAAAGAGAGCCUCUGCUUGCAAGCCCUCGCUAAAGGAUGAGUCCGCGUACCAUUAGCUAGUUGGUAGGGUAAUGGCCUACCAAGGCGACGAUGGUUAGGUUGUCUGAGAGGAUGAUCAGCCACACUGGAACUGAGACACGGUCCAGACUCCUACGGGAGGCAGCAGUGAGGAAUCUUGCGCAAUGGGGGCAACCCUGACGCAGCAACGCCGCGUGAGUGAGGAAGGUCUUCGGAUCGUAAAGCUCUGUCGGAUGGAAAGAACCGCAUAGGGGUAAACAGCCCCUGUGUCUGACGGUACCAUCAAAGGAAGCACAGGCUAACUCCGUGCCAGCCGCCGCAGUAACAC